UAUGUACUUCCUCCGUCCGGAAUUACUUGUCAUCAAAAUUGAUGAAAAUGGAUGUAUCUAGAACUAAAAUACAUCUAGAUACAUCCAUUUCAAUGACAAGUAUUUCCGGACGAAGGGAGUAGUCC
rfam:Triticum aestivum genome assembly, contig: Triticum_aestivum_CS42_TGACv1_scaffold_050009_1BS